GCAGACACACUCUGUUCUUUGCUGCAAACUCCAGCUCGGGACUUUUUCUGUCUGCUACAUAAACAUGCAGAACGUAAAGACCGGACAGGCUUUUUUCUUAAGCAUGUUUAUUUAUAUGUUCUGCUAUAUUUCA
ensembl:snoRNA SNORA77B small nucleolar RNA, H/ACA box 77B